rnacentral:rRNA from 1 species
ACAUCCAGAGAAUUUAGCAGAGAUGCUUUAGUGCCUUCGGGUACUCUGAGACAGGUGCUGCAUGGCUGUCGUCAGCUCGUGUUGUGAAAUGUUGGGUUAAGUCCCGNAACGAGCGCAACCCUUAUCCUUUGUUGCCAGCACGUAAUGGUGGGAACUCAAAGGAGACUGCCGGUGAUAAACCGGAGGAAGGUGGGGAUGACGUCAAGUCAUCAUGGCCCUUACGAGUAGGGCUACACACGUGCUACGAUGGCGCAUACAAAGAGAAGCGACCUCGCGAGAGCAAGCGGACCUCAUAAAGUGCGUCGUAGUCCGGAUUGGAGUCUGCAACUCGACUCCAUGAAGUCGGAAUCGCUAGUAAUCGUAAAUCAGAAUGUUACGGUGAAUACGUUCCCGGGCCUUGUACACACCGCCCGUCACACCAUGGGAGUGGGUUGCAAAAGAAGUAGAUAGCUUAACCUUCGGGAGGGCGUUUACCACUUUGUGAUUCAUGACUGGGGUGAAGUCGUAACAAGGUAAGCGUAGUGCU